CAUCCAGAGAACUUAGCAGAGAUGCUUUGGUGCCUUCGGGAACUCUGAGACAGGUGCUGCAUGGCUGUCGUCAGCUCGUGUUGUGAAAUGUUGGGUUAAGUCCCGCAACGAGCGCAACCCUUUAUCCCUUUGUUGCCAGCGGCUCGGCCGGGAACUCAAAGGAGACUGCCGGUGAUAAACCGGAGGAAGGUGGGGAUGACGUCAAGUCAUCAUGGCCCUUACGGCCAGGGCUACACACGUGCUACAAUGGCGCAUACAAAGAGAAGCGACCUCGCGAGAGCAAGCGGACCUCAUAAAGUGCGUCGUAGUCCGGAUUGGAGUCUGCAACUCGACUCCAUGAAGUCGGAAUCGCUAGUAAUCGUAGAUCAGAAUGCUACGGUGAAUACGUUCCCGGGCCUUGUACACACCGCCCGUCACACCAUGGGAGUGGGUUGCAAAAGAAGUAGGUAGCUUAACCUUCGGGAGGGCGCUUACCACUUUGUGAUUCAUGACUGGGGUGAAGUCGUAACAAGGUAAGCGUACGUGU
rnacentral:rRNA from 1 species